AACGCACCUUGCGCCUUUUGGUAUUCCGAAAGGCAUGCCUGUUUGAGUGUCAUGAAAUCUCAAUCCCUUCGGGUUUUUGACCUGAUUGGAUUGGACUUGGGUGUUGCCGUUUGGCUCGCCUCAAAAGACUUAGUGGAUCACCGGGUCAACAUGUUAGAUGUAAUAAGUUUCAUCUGGCUUGGCUUGGACGGUCUGCUCAGAACCCACCAUACACUUUUACUCUGACCUCAAAUCAGGUAGGGCUACCCGCUGAACUUAA
rnacentral:misc_RNA from 1 species